GGACUCUGAUGUGAAUUAGAAAUUAUGCAAAUAUAUAGAUUAGGAUACAAAAUCAAGGGGUUUGCAAUUAUCUGUAGAACGGUUGUAGCAAUACAACAGUGGCGAACGGGUUAGUAACACGUAGAUAUCAACCCUUUACUCGGGCAUAACCUGGAGAAAUCUAGGCUAAUUCCCGAUAGUCCGGAAACGGUAAAGAUUUUUCGGUAAAGGAUGAGUCUGCGUCCUAUCAGCUAGUUGGUGAGGUAAUGGCUCACCAAGGCAAUGACGGGUAGGCGGAGUGAGAGCUUGACCGCCAACAAUGGCACUGAGACACGGGCCAUACUCCUACGGGAGGCAGCAGUCGAGAAUAUUUGACAAUGGGCGAAAGCCUGAUCAAGCGACGUCGCGUGUGGGAUUAAGAUCUUCGGAUUGUAAACCACUUUUCUAGGGGAAGAACUUUGACUGUACCCUAGGAAUAAGGGGUGACUAAACUCGUGCCAGCAGUAGCGGUAAUACGAGUGCCCCAAGCGUUAUCCGGAUUUAUUGGGCGUAAAGGGUCUGUAGGUGGUUUGUUAAGUUUCUCGUUAAAGCUCCAGGGCUUAACCUUGGAAAAGCGGGAAAAACUGGCAAACUAGAGGAUGUUAGAGGCUGAUGGAACACUUGGUGAAGGGGUGGAAUCCGUUGAUAUCAAGUGGAACACCGAAAGCGAAAGCAAUCAGCUGGGACAGUCCUGACACUGAAAGACGAAAGCGUGGGGAGAGAAAAGGAUUAGAUACCCUUGUAUUCCACGCCUUAAACGAUGAAUACUAGCUAUUGCAAGUGUCGACCCUUGCAGUGGCGAAGCUAACGCGUUAAGUAUUCCGCCUGGGAAGUACGGCCGCAAGGCUAAAACUCAAAGGAAUAGACGGGGACCUACACAAGCGGUGGAUCACGUGGCUUAAUUCGAUAAUAAGCGAGGAACCUUACCAGGGCUUGAAAGGUUAAUGAAAGCAUUUCGAAAGAUUUGCCUACCCACAAGGACAUUAACCCAGGUGCUGCAUGGUUGUCGUCAGCAGGUGGCUUGAGUUGCUCCCUUAAAUGGGGUAACCUGCGCAACCCUUGCUCUAUGUUUCAUGUGUCAUAGAGGACUGCCUGGGACAACCAGGAGGAAGGUGAGGAUGACGCCAAAUCAGCAUGGCCCUUUGAUGUCCUGGGCUGCACACGUGAUACAAUGGGAUUGACAACGGGAAGCGAAAGAGUAAUCUGGAGCAAAUCCUAUCAAACAAUUCCUCAAUUCGGAUUGAGGUCUGAAACUCGACCUCAUGAAGUCGGAAUCGCUAGUAACCGCAGAUCAGCCAUGCUGCGGUGAAUAUGUCCCUGGGUCUUGUACUCACCGCCCGUCACGUCAAGCGAGUUGGGGAUACCCGAAGUUCCAUGCAAAUGGACCCAAGGUAGAUUCAAUGAGAGGGACGAAGUCGUAACAAGGCACGGGUAGCGGAAGCUGCUCGUG
rnacentral:rRNA from 2 species